rnacentral:rRNA from 13 species
AUCUCAGCUCAAGCAAGAGGACCCGCCGAAUUUAAGCAUAUAAUUAAGCGGAGGAAAAGAAACUAACCAGGAUUCCCCUAGUAAGGGCGACUGAAGCGGGAUAAGCUCAAGAUGUAAAUCUGUGCACGAACCGUCCAACCGGUAUCACUACUAUCACUAUUACUGGUAGUAGUAUUGUUGCCUGUUGACGGCACUGCACCGAAUUGUGGUCUAUAGACUGUAGCCAAUCGUUAAUGUGAAUCGUCGGUCAGUUUACUGUACUUUACUGUACUGUGCUGAACGAUGGUUAUCUGUCCAAUCUGGCCAAGUCCCUUGGAACAGGGCAGCUGAGAGGGUGAGACUCCCGUACGCCUAAUAGGAACACACAUAUAUGCAUAUGCAUACACACAACAUACACACACUACAUGUCAAAGAGUCGAGUUGUUUGGGAUUGCAGCUCAAAGCGGGUGGUAAAUUCCAUCUAAAGCUAAAUAUUGGUGGGAGACCGAUAGCGCACAAGUACCGUGAGGGAAAGAUGCAAAGAACUUUGAAAAGAGAGUUAAAGAGUACCUGAAAUUGCUGAAAGGGAAGCGAAGGAAACCAGUGUCUGCUCUGUCAU